rnacentral:miRNA from 1 species
UGAUCCCUUAUGUUCUCCUAGA